rnacentral:rRNA from 1 species
AUUGAACGCUGGCGGCAUGGCUAAAACAUGCAAGUCGAGCGCGAAAGAGGAGCAAUCCUCCAGUAGAGCGGCGAAAGGGUGAGUAAUACGUUUCUAUGUACCCCGAGGUCAGGGAUAGCCCAGGGAAACCUGGAGUAAUACCUGAUGUGGUCCUCAUGUCAAAGUGAGAAUCAAAGGCUUGCCGCCUUGGGAGCAGGGAACGUCCUAUCAGGUAGUUGGUGAGGUAAGGCUCACCAAGCCAAUGACGGGUAGCGGGUGUGAGAGCAUGGCCCGCCACAUCGGGACUGAGACACUGCCCGGACUUCUGCGGAAGGCUGCAGUAACGAAUCUUCCACAAUGCGCGAAAGCGUGAUGGAGCAAUGCCG